GGAUCAAUGAUCCCCCACAAUCCCAGUACGACACGAGCGUCAAUUCCGGAAGGAAGAGCACCGUGGAUACAAACACCGUGAACGCAUCGGGAACUUAUGAAAAUCUCUCAAGGGAUGAACAGGGCGCAAGGAACGAUGUAGAAGAUGGAAACUCCACUUACACGGGACUUGUCCUGGAGGACCGAUCUGUUUACAGUGAUCUGAAGAGAUGACGUCACUGGUGAAGAGAAGAGGAUGGUUGGCCCGUGAAUUGACAGAGAAGAAGGACAACCAUCGAGGGAAAAGCCACCGUUCAGAAUGUCCUUCAUUGUUUCUUCAUGGUUGUUCUCCAUGUCUCCGUUAGAUCUUUUCUGCGUUUCACAUCCUCACGACGAAGUCAUCACUGAAGGUUUUGACUCGUUUGUAUCACAGCAGCUUAGUUCCCUCACCUCAGCCCAGACUCCUUUGUCCCAUAAUUGACACCUUCACUCUGCCGCCGACAUUUGUCCUCUCAACGUUACACUGUGAUAUAAUCUAUAUACCGUUUUGACCCACG